rnacentral:rRNA from 1 species
UACGGAGGGGGCUAGCGUUGUUCGGAAUUACUGGGCGUAAAGCGCGCGUAGGCGGCUUUGUAAGUUAGAGGUGAAAGCCCGGAGCUCAACUCCGGAAUUGCCUUUAAGACUGCAUCGCUAGAAUCAUGGAGAGGUGAGUGGAAUUCCGAGUGUAGAGGUGAAAUUCGUAGAUAUUCGGAAGAACACCAGUGGCGGAAGGCGACUCACUGGACAUGUAUUGACGCUGAGGUGCGAAAGCGUGGGGAG